rnacentral:tRNA from 1 species
GGAGUGGUGGUUCAGUGGUAGAAUUCUUGCUUUCAGUGUGGGAGACCCAGGUUCAAUUCCUGGCCAAUGCG